rnacentral:rRNA from 1 species
CCUACGGGGGGCUGCAGUGGGGAAUAUUGGACAAUGGGGGGAACCCUGAUCCAGCCAUGCCGCGUGUGUGAAGAAGGCCCUCGGGUUGUAAAGCACUUUCAGUGAGGAAGAACGCCUGGUGGUUAAUACCCAUCAGGAAAGACAUCACUCACAGAAGAAGCACCGGCUAACUCCGUGCCAGCAGCCGCGGUAAUACGGAGGGUGCGAGCGUUAAUCGGAAUUACUGGGCGUAAAGCGCGCGUAGGUGGCUUGAUAAGCCGGUUGUGAAAGCCCCGGGCUCAACCUGGGAACGGCAUCCGGAACUGUCAAGCUAGAGUGCAGGAGAGGAAGGUAGAAUUCCCGGUGUAGCGGUGAAAUGCGUAGAGAUCGGGAGGAAUACCAGUGGCGAAGGCGGCCUUCUGGACUGACACUGACACUUAGGUGCGAAAGCGUGGGUAGCAAACAGGAUUAGAUACCCCAGUAGUC